AAAGCGAGAAAAGGGGCGUGCUAAGGAUAAGUGACAUCUUCACCUCCCAUGCUGACCUGUCCGGCAUCAGCAACCACUCAAACAUCCAGGUGUGUGAGAUGGUGCACAAAGCUGUGGUGGAGGUGGACGAGUCUGGGACCAGAGUGGCGGCAGCCACUGGGACAAUCUUCAUGUUCAGGUCGGCCUACCUGGGCUCUCAGAGGAUAGUGUUCAACAGGCCCUUUCUGAUGUUCGUUGUGGAGAACAAUACCCUCUUCCUUGGCAAAGUGAACUGCCCCUGAGGUGGGGCUUCUUCUGAAAUCUACAGGCCUCAGGUAGGAGAUGAAGGUGGGUGUGCUAUGGCCCAUCCGUAUGCUGGUAGCUAGUGAUUUACACUGGUUUAGUUGACUAAUGAGGCAUUACAAACAAUAAAAUUACUAAAUAAUGAUUGCAUCCACCCACACAACCACAAGAUACAGGUGCCUUGGGGAAAUUUGGAGAACAUUCAGUCUUGCCCUCACAAUUUAUCAAGAAAGAUUAGCACUGAGAUCCAGAGAGGCUGGUUGACAUGCUCAAGUUCACCAGCAUGUUAGUGGAGGAGACAGGUCCAGAGUCCAGGCCCUUGAUGCCCAGCUCAGUGCCACAAAGCUCAGGAGGAGGGUUCCAGUGGGCGAGGGCCACCAGGAAGCACACGUCCAAGCCUGGUCCCCCACCUAUCAGCAACAGUAACUGUCAGUUCAUCCUGCAUGAGAAAAAUACUGGGAUGGGAGUCUGAAAUGGGGCUACUCUUUUGGCCCUAACCUGCUGUGUGACAUUGGGGCAACAUUUUUUCUCUCUGGACCUCAGUUUUCCUCUGUAUACAAGGAUCAGACUCUUGCUGUGAUCCAAGGACUCCUGAAAUCAUAUAGAAAGGCUGAGGUGUGCCCUGUCAAUCAUGGUUGAUUUCAAAACACUCAAGAGCCAUUCAUCCUGUAAGACAAACAUCUGGAUAUUAGGGUGGAAAUGGCCCAUUUGAUGAUUGAUUAUAUCAUCUUGUGGAUAUGGUUAUAAUCUUAUGGGCCUGGAUGGGAGUGGAAGAAGGGAAGCCUGUUGCAAAGAGUAGAGUAUCAGUUGCAGGUGUCAAUGACUAACUUUUUGAAUUUUACAUUGGCAUUAACAAUAAAGCAUUUUGCAAACAC